UCUAAGCACAUGCCUUAAUACGGUGAAGCCGCGAAUAGCUCAUUACAACAGCCAUCGUUUACUAGAAUAUCGUUAUCCUACUUGGAUAACUGUGGCAAUUCUAGAGCUAAUACAUGCAUAAAAGCCCUGCCCGCAAGGAAAGGGCGCAUUUAUUAGAAUAAAAACCAAUCGGGUCUCGGCCCGUAGUUUGGUGAAUCUGAAUAACUUUGCCAAUCGCACAGUCCUAGUACUGGCGAUGUAUCUUUCAAGUGUCUGCCUUAUCAACUUUCGAUGGUAGGUUAUACGCCUACCAUGGUAGUAACGGGUAACGGAGAAUAAGGGUUCGACUCCGGAGAGGGAGCCUGAGAAACGGCUACCACAUCCAAGGAAGGCAGCAGGCGCGCAAAUUACCCACUUCCAGAACGGAGAGGUAGUGACGAAAAAUAACGAGACAGUCCUCUUCGAGGUCUGUCAUCGGAAUGGGUACAAUUUAAA
rnacentral:rRNA from 1 species